CGCCUGUUUAUCAAAAACAUAUAAGAAGUGCGGUCUGCCCGGUGAAUCUUAUAAACGGCUGUUAUAACAUUAAAGUAGCGCAAUAAUUUGUUCCUUCAUUGGGGACUUGUAUGAAAGGCAGAGGGAAAUUUACUGUUUCUUUCGAAUUCUAAAAAAUUUCUAUUUAAGUGAAAAAGCUUAAAUUCACUAAAAGGACGAGAAGACCCUAUAGAAUUUAAUAGCAUUUUUGUUGGGGCAACAGGGGAGAAAAAACUCAGUCUAUACAAUUUAAUAAUCAUAAAUAAAAUUUAUUGAUCCUAAAAUAGAACAAAGAAAAAUUACCUUAGGGAUAACAGCGUAUAUCUCCCAGAGAGACCUAAUUGAAGGGAGAGUUUGCGACCUCGAUGUUGGACUAAGAUAGCUUUCAAAUGCAGCAGUUUGAAAUAGUAAGCCUGUCCGGCUUUUAAAACCUUCCAUGAUCUGACCU
rnacentral:rRNA from 1 species